rnacentral:lncRNA from 10 species
GCUGCCAUUGUUGUCAUAUUCUUUACUGUCUUCAUUCUGUCAUUUCUUCAAAAGACAGUUCAUCCUUCAUUCAUUCAUGCCUUCCAACACUGAGGACACUGAGUUCUCUGGAAUCCUGAAGAAGACCCUUUCCUGAGUUAAGAUGACCACCUUCUGUUACUGUCUUUAUUAUCAACACCUUUCUGCUUUCGCGCAGUAAUAUGGGCCAGAAAUGGUGAUGACUUGCCCUUGGGAAGUAGUGGCAGAGCUGAGAAAAAGCAGAUGCAGCCCUCUUUAUUUUGGAAGACUCUUCAAUGAGACUUUAUGUGAGAAGUGAGCCAAAGCAGGGCAGAGGAUCAGUCGAAGGAUGACUGCUAACUCUUGUGUUGUGUGGAAUGUCAGAGAGCUUGUGAGGACAG